AACGCUGGCGGCGUGCCUAAUACAUGCAAGUCGAGCGAACUGAUUAGAAGCUUGCUUCUAUGACGUUAGCGGCGGACGGGUGAGUAACACGUGGGCAACCUGCCUGUAAGACUGGGAUAACUUCGGGAAACCGAAGCUAAUACCGGAUAGGAUCUUCUCCUUCAUGGGAGAUGAUUGAAAGAUGGUUUCGGCUAUCACUUACAGAUGGGCCCGCGGUGCAUUAGCUAGUUGGUGAGGUAACGGCUCACCAAGGCAACGAUGCAUAGCCGACCUGAGAGGGUGAUCGGCCACACUGGGACUGAGACACGGCCCAGACUCCUACGGGAGGCAGCAGUAGGGAAUCUUCCGCAAUGGACGAAAGUCUGACGGAGCAACGCCGCGUGAGUGAUGAAGGCUUUCGGGUCGUAAAACUCUGUUGU
rnacentral:rRNA from 2 species